GUCGUCAGCUCGUGUCGUGAGAUGUUGGGUUAAGUCCCGCAACGAGCGCAACCCUUGUGUUUAGUUGCAAACAGGUCAAGCUGUGCACUCUAGACAGACUGCCGUGGACAACACGGAGGAAGGUGGGGAUGACGUCAAAUCAUCAUGCCCCUUAUGAUCUGGGCUACACACGUGCUACAAUGGCCGGGUACAACGGGCAGCGAAGGAGCGAUCCGGAGCGAAUCCUAAAAAGCCGGUCCCAGUUCGGAUUGCAGGCUGAAACUCGCCUACAUGAAGUUGGAGUUGCUAGUAAUCGCGAAUCAGAAUGUCGCGGUGAAUGCGUUCCCGGGUCUU
rnacentral:rRNA from 1 species